rnacentral:ncRNA from 1 species
UGAAAACUUUAGGGGUGCCUGAUUGGCUGAGAUUAUACCCUUUGAACUUGAACCAGGUAAUGCUGGCGAAAGAAAAAGUAUGACUAUCUAU